CGGCAACAGCUCAAAUUUGAAAUCUGGCCCUCGUGGUCCGAGUUGUAAUUUGUAGAGGAUGCUUUUGGUGCGGUGCCUUCCGAGUUCCCUGGAACGGGACGCCAUAGAGGGUGAGAGCCCCGUCUGGUUGGACACCAAUCCUCUGUAAAGCUCCUUCGACGAGUCGAGUAGUUUGGGAAUGCUGCUCAAAAUGGGAGGUAUAUGUCUUCUAAAGCUAAAUACCGGCCAGAGACCGAUAGCGCACAAGUAGAGUGAUCGAAAGAUGAAAAGCACUUUGAAAAGAGGGUUAAAUAGUACGUGAAAUUGUUGAAAGGGCAGCGUUUGUGACCAGACUUGGGCUUGGUUAAUCAUCCAGCGUUCUCGCUGGUGCACUUUGCCAUCCCAGGCCAGCAUCAGUUCGCCGCGGGGGAUAAAAGCACCGGGAAUGUGGCUCUUCGGAGUGUUAUAGCCCGGUGCACAAUACCCUGUGGUGGACUGAGGUUCGCGCAUCUGCAAGGAUGCUGGCGUAAUGGUCAUCAACGACCCGUCUUGAAACACGGACCAAGGAGUCGUCUUCGUAUGCGAGUGUUCGGGUGUCAAACCCCUACGCGUAAUGAAAGUGAACGGAGGUGGGAGCCUCGGCGCACCAUCGACCGAUCCUGAUGUUUUCGGAUGGAUUUGAGUAAGAGCAUACGGGGCCGGACCCGAAAGAAGGUGAACUAUGCCUGUAUAGGGUGAAGCCAGAGGAAACUCUGGUGGAGGCUCGCAGCGGUUCUGACGUGCAAAUCGAUCGUCAAAUAUGGGCAUGGGGGCGAA
rnacentral:rRNA from 1 species